rnacentral:rRNA from 1 species
UCGGGAAUUUUGGGCAAUGGGCGAAAGCCUGACCCAGCAACGCCGCGUGAGGGAUGAAGUAUUUCGGUAUGUAAACCUCGAAAGAAUGGGAAGAAUAAAUGACGGUACCAUUUAUAAGUUCCGGCUAACUACGUGCCAGCAGCCGCGGUAAUACGUAGGGAGCAAGCGUUGUUCGGAUUUACUGGGCGUAAAGGGCGCGUAGGCGGCGCGGUAAGUCACUUGUGAAAUCUCUGAGCUUAACUCAGAACGGCCAAGUGAUACUGCUGUGCUAGAGUGCGGAAGAGGCAACCGGAAUUCUUGGUGUAGCGGUGAAAUGCGUAGAUAUCAAGAGGAACACCUGAGGCGAAGGCGGGUUGCUGGGCCGACACUGACGCUGAUGCGCGAAAGCCAGGGGAGCAAACG